rnacentral:rRNA from 1 species
AUUGAACGCUGGCGGCAGGCCUAACACAUGCAAGUCGAGCGGUAGAGAGGUGCUUGCACCUCUUGAGAGCGGCGGACGGGUGAGUAAUGCCUAGGAAUCUGCCUGGUAGUGGGGGAUAACGUCCGGAAACGGACGCUAAUACCGCAUACGUCCUACGGGAGAAAGCAGGGGACCUUCGGGCCUUGCGCUAUCAGAUGAGCCUAGGUCGGAUUAGCUAGUUGGUGAGGUAAUGGCUCACCAAGGCGACGAUCCGUAACUGGUCUGAGAGGAUGAUCGGUCACACUGGACAUGGGAAACGGUCCAGACUCCUACGGGAGGCAGCAGUGGGGGAUAUUGGACAAUGGGCGAAAGCCUGAUCCAGCCAUGCCGCGUGUGUGAAGAAGGUCUUCGGAUUGUAAAGCACUUUAAGUUGGGAGGAAGGGUUGUAGAUUAAUACUCUGCAAUUUUGACGUUACCGACAGAAUAAGCACCGGCUAACUCUGUGCCAGCCGCCGCGGUAAUAC